ensembl:lncRNA
CUCAGUUUGUCAAAUAAGGUGAAAGCUUAUCUGAAACUUUUGGGAACAAUAAUGUUGAGAUACAUUUUAAUUUUUUCAGGUUCCAGUUCACAGACAAGAUUCAUACAGACCAACAGAGAUCUACAGCUGACUGUGAGAGAAGGGGUUCAAAUAGGAAGAGAUAUAUUUUUUUGGACAUUUAAUGACAGAAAAAAUAUAAUAAGACUAAAUAGAGGCGAAGUAGAUUACUUUGACUACAAAAACAGAGUGGAGUUUUUUAAACAAAAUCUGUCUUUGAUUUUGAAAAAUGUCCAGCUGAGUGACAGUGGGAUCUACACAGCUGAAGUCUCUCGAAGUGAAAAAGAAAUCCUCUCCACAUAUGACGUCACAGUUGAAGCCCCAGUGUCUCCAGUGCUGCUGAGCGUGGACUCUGUGUUUAACAGUCCAGAGUCCUGUAACUUCACUGUGAGCUGCACGACUGAACUCUCCCCCUCCAUCAGCCGCUCCUUCACCUGUGACAGACGCACCUGUGAGGAGGCAAGCCCCGCCCCCUCUGACCCCGCCCCCUCCCUGCACCUUUACCUGUCC